UAAAUAGUAAACUUUUUAGGUGCCCAUUAGGGAGAAUAGGGAAUCAGGUGAAAAUCCUGCAGCGGACCCGCCACUGUAAGCAGGAAGUUUCCCACAAUUGCCACUGAAAGUUAUAAGCUUUUGGGAAGGCGUGGGUAAGCACUGAACUGCAAGCCAGGAGACCUGCCUAAAAUGUUUAUAAGAU
rnacentral:ncRNA from 2 species